rnacentral:rRNA from 1 species
GACGUAGGAGGCGAGCGUUGUCCGGAUUCAUUGGGCGUAAAGAGCGCGCAGGCGGCUUGGUAAGUCGGAUGUGAAAUCCCGAGGCUCAACCUCGGGUCUGCAUCCGAUACUGCCCGGCUAGAGGUAGGUAGGGGAGAUCGGAAUUCCUGGUGUAGCGGUGAAAUGCGCAGAUAUCAGGAAGAACACCAACGGCGAAGGCAGCUCGCUGGGACGGUACUGACGCUGAGACGCGAAAGCGUGGGGAGCGAACAGG